UUAAAAAUGAACGAGGUAGCACAGUGUGCUUCUUGUUACUAUAUUGUGGUUUCUUUGAACUUGGAAGAUUAGGGAGGAUAUCAGGAAAGGAGCAUGUUGGAAACAGAUAUGACUCUAAGAAAGGGAGACAGCGGUGGGCAGAUCUGGAUGAGUUCAAGGCCAGCCAAGGCUACAUACAGUGACCUUGUCUCAGAAAAGAAAUAAAGAUGCGGGUUUGGGAGGCAGGGUGUGUAUUUCAUGUGUGGACAGAAAUAUAGACUAUGCCAAGUACAUUAGGUGUCAGCAUAUGUAAAUUCAAAGCUCUUUUCACACCAAUUGAAUAAGACACUCAAAAUUUCCAGAUUCGGUUGGUCGCGGAACUGUGUGGUGGGACAGAGUACUUUAGUUGAGAGUGCUGGUGGCUUCCACAGUCUGGCUCCCUCUGUCCUUCUGAUGGAGUGCACUUCCCAAUAACCAGUCUUUUUCCAUCUACAGUGGUCCGAGUUCCUUCUUCUAGCAUGGGAUGCUAGUCUAUCAACCCAGUCUCAAAACAUUUAUACUUCGGACGUAGGAGCGGGUGUCUGUCAGUGACGGCACUGAGUGAGCAUUUCCACCCAGAGCACGCACUGUGGUCUGCAGAAGACAGAACAUCUCUGCUCAGGAAGUUCACAGACAAGGACAAUGAGCCAGCUGUGUGAGGACUCUGAGUGUCCCGCUUCAUGACUGCAAGGACAGCCUCUGGCGCCACACAUGGCUCCGCUCACGUGGUCUUUAACGUCUUAAGUAACAACGUCUUCCUCCUCUCCGGGAACCGUCUGUAUAGUUUUUACCAUUCGAGUCAAUAGGAAGGCUAAUGGGUACCAGUCAAAGUGGAAACGGGUCACAUGGAGCUACCCUGGCCGCUCACUACACCCAUCCGGAUCGGAGCGGAUGCUGCUCAGUGCCACAAAGGACUAGAUCAGGCUGGCAAUCAUCUCUCCAGAUACACCAAUGUGAGAGCGGCUGUCAAAAUUUAAAUUCCUGCUGAGCAUCCCAGAGCACACGUGGGAACCCCAAGAAAGGCUAUUUUCAACCUGCGAAAGUGUUCUGCACCAGGUCUCUCAGGACUUAAUUAAAUGAAUGCAUUCUCACUGGUAA